rnacentral:rRNA from 1 species
AGAGUUUGAUCCUGGCUCAGAACGAACGCUGGCGGCGUGGCUAAAACAUGCAAGUCGAGCGCGAAUUCCCGGGCAACUGGGAUAGUAGAGCGGCGGAAGGGUGAGUAAUGCAUGGGUAACGUACCUUAAGUACAGGGAUAGCCCACCGAAAGGUGGAGUAAUACCUGAUGAGACCACAGUGCCUUAUGGCACAGCGGUCAAAGGACGGGGAUCGCAAGACCUGUCGACUUAAGAUCGGCCCAUGUCCUAUCAGCUAGUUGGUGAGGUAAGAGCUUACCAAGGCGACGACGGGUACCGGGACUGAGAGGUUGGCCCGGCACAUUGGGACUGAGACACUGCCCAGACUCCUACGGGAGGCUGCAGUAACGAAUAUUCCGCAAUGGGCGAAAGCCUGACGGAGCGACGCCGCGUGUGGGAUGAAGCCCUUCGGGGUGUAAACCACUGUCAGGGAUUACCAAGCAAAGGGACCUAAUACGUCCCUGCGUUGAGGCGUCCCAGAGGAAGCCACGGCUAACUUCGUGCCAGCAGCCGCGGUAAUACGAAGGUGGCAAGCGUUGUUCGGAAUCACUGGGCUUAAAGAGCACGUAGGCGGCCUCAUAAGCGCUUUGUGAAAUCCCUCGGCUCAACCGGGGAAUUGCUGGGCGAACUGUGAGGCUUGAGGCAAGUAGGGGUGCAUGGAACUCUUGGUGGAGCGGUGAAAUGCGUAGAUAUCAAGAGGAACGCCGGUGGCGAAAGCGGUGCACUGGGCUUGUCCUGACGCUGAGGUGCGAAAGCUAGGGGAGCAAACGGGAUUAGAUACC